rnacentral:rRNA from 1 species
AAACAUUUCUGGGGGGAAAAUGUUUUUGGUAUAACCUGCUCAAUGCUUGUUGUAAAUAGCUGCAGUAUUUUGACUGUACAAAGGUAGCAUAAUCAUUAGUCUUUUAAUUGAAGGCUUGUAUGAAAGGUUGAACAGAAUACUAACUUUUUUGAUUACAUGAAAUUUAAACUUAUUGUUUAUGUUAAAAUACAUAUUUGUUUAAAAGGGACGAUAAGACCCUGUAGAAUUUAAAAGUUAUUUGAGAUUUAGAUUUUUUUAUUGGGGUGAUAGUAAAUAAACUUUUACAUUGAUUUCAUUGAUGAAUGAUUAAUUGAUCCUAUACUUCAGAAAAAAAGAUAAAAUUACCUAAGGGAUAACAGCAUAAUUUUUUUUAAAAGAUCUUAUUAAUAAAAAAGAUUAUGACCUCGAUGUUGAAUUAAAAUUAGAAUUUGGUGUAGAAGCUAAGUUC